UUCAGAUCUCGUUUUACCAUUGCAGAGAGGGAGGUAAAGAAGGAAGAUUGCAGGCGUUUGACACUUCUCCAGCGAGCGUCUUCUCAAGCAUUUGGUGAUCAAGUAGAUAAAGCUGAACUUUGUGAUGAUGCUAUUGUAAACUUUCUUUCUACAUACAAAACUUUCGUCUACCUUGAAGAAGCAAGAUCCCUUGCGAGACUAGCUCAUGAAACUCAAUAGCUUAAAUAGAGCAAAGACAAUAACAAGUUCCUUUUCACUCUAUGCAGAUAAGGCAUCAAAUGCGUGCAAAUCAUUGUUACGGACUCCAAUAUACAAGUCUCCUCGGAGAUAUUUUCUCCCUAAUUCACAAGAUCUUGGAGGUACUUCCCAUCUGAAUUUAUGGCAUAUAAGCAAGUUGGUUUUCAUCAUGUGCUUCUAAAAGAGUUGU